rnacentral:rRNA from 1 species
GACGAACGCUGGCGGCGUGCCUAAUACAUGCAAGUAGAACGCACAGUUUAUACCGUAGCUUGCUACACCAUACACUGUGAGUUGCGAACGGGUGAGUAACGCGUAGGUAACCUGCCUGGUAGCGGGGGAUAACUAUUGGAAACGAUAGCUAAUACCGCAUAAUAUUGAUUAUUGCAUGAUAAUUGAUUGAAAGAUGCUAUUGCAUCACUACCAGAUGGACCUGCGUUGUAUUAGCUAGUAGGUGAGGUAACGGCUCACCUAGGCGACGAUACAUAGCCGACCUGAGAGGGGGAUCGGCCACACUGGGACUGAGACACGGCCCAGACUCCUACGGGAGGCAGCAGUAGGGAAUCUUCGGCAAUGGACGAAAGUCUGACCGAGCAACGCCGCGUGAGUGAAGAAGGUUUUCGGAUCGUAAAGCUCUGUUGUAAGAGAAGAACGGGUGUGAGAGUGGAAAGUUCACACUGUGACGGUAUCUUACCAGAAAGAGACGGCUAACUACGUG